rnacentral:tRNA from 2 species
AUGACAGUAGCUCAGGCGGUUAGAGCAGAACUCUUAUAAGGUUCAGGUCGGCGGUCCGAACCCGUCCUGUCAUA